rnacentral:rRNA from 1 species
UACGUAGGGUCCGAGCGUUAAUCGGAAUUACUGGGCGUAAAGCGUGCGCAGGCGGUUUUGUAAGCCAGAUGUGAAAGCCCCGGGCUCAACCUGGGAAUGGCAUUUGGGACUGCAAGGCUGGAGUACGGCAGAGGGAGGUGGAAUUCCAGGUGUAGCAGUGAAAUGCGUAGAGAUCUGGAGGAACACCGAUGGCGAAGGCAGCCUCCUGGGCUAGUACUGACGCUCAUGCACGAAAGCGUGGGGAGCAAACAGG